rnacentral:rRNA from 1 species
AUUGAACGCUGGCGGCAUGCCUAACACAUGCAAGUCGAACGGCAGCGCGGGGGCAACCCUGGCGGCGAGUGGCGGACGGGUGAGGAAUACAUCGGAAUCUACCUUCUGGUGGGGGAUAACCAGCCGAAAGGCUGGCUAAUACCGCAUAAGACCGAGAGGUGAAAGCGGGGGACCGAAAGGCCUCGCGCGAGAAGAUGAGCCGAUGUCCGAUUAGCUAGUUGGCGGGGUAAGAGCCCACCAAGGCGACGAUCGGUAGCUGGUCUGAGAGGAUGAUCAGCCACACUGGGACUGAGACACGGCCCAGACUCCUACGGGAGGCAGCAGUGGGGAAUAUUGGACAAUGGGCGCAAGCCUGAUCCAGCAAUGCCGCGUGUGUGAAGAAGGCCUCGGUUGU